rnacentral:rRNA from 1 species
UAUGUGAUCGUCUCUCGCAUAUCAAUAAGCGGAGGAAAAGAAACUAACAAGGAUUCCCCUAGUAACGGCGAGUGAAGCGGGAAGAGCUCAAAUUUGAAAUCUUAAAGGGUUUCCCUUUACGAAUUGUAGUUUAAAGAAGUGUUUUCUGUUGAGGUUUUGGUAAAAGUUCUUUGGAAUAGGACAUCAUAGAGGGUGAGAAUCCCGUAUUUGACCUUUACUUUCAACUUUGUGAUACACUUUCAAAGAGUCGGAUUGUUUGGGAAUGCAGUCCAAAAUGGGUGGUAAAUUUCAUCUAAAGCUAAAUAUUGGCGAGAGACCGAUAGCGAACAAGUACCGUGAGGGAAAGAUGAAAAGAACUUUGAAAAGAGAGUUAAACAGUACGUGAAAUUGUCGAAAGGGAAGCGUUUGACACCAGUGUUGUUUUUCUGAAAAUCAAUUAAAGAACUGUUUAUGCUAAGUUGUUUAGACUUUAUCAGCUAACUGUUUAGUUUUGAGCUUUUCUUUAAUGCACUUUUCAGUUAACAAGUCAACAUCAAUUUCUUUUGCUGUAAAAAAGCUUGAGGAAGGUGGCUUGAGAUUCGUCUUAAGUGUUUAUAGCCUCUUGCCUAUGCAGUCGGAGAGAUUGAGGUCUGCAGCGUAGAUCCUUCGGGGCUAAAUGCAUUUGUGCUAAGUUAUAGCAUUUUAUAGACAACUUGUUGACUAUGAUUUGUCUUGUAGCUUACUCGCUUAUGUUAUUUUACCUACGCUUAGGAUAUUGACACACGCGCGUGCUCG